UAGAAAAUUUAAUUAGUUAGAUUGAGAGAAGAGAAAAGACUUGACCAGUUAAUCUUAAUCCUCCCACUGACUUCACCAAGUCAGAUUAAAGAAGAUUAGGCAAAAGUUGAUCCAGCCAAUCAGUCAUAAAUCCUCCUACUGACUUCAUCAAGUCAUGAAGAGGACUUAAGACAAGUUGAACUAGGGGUGCCUAAAUCAGUCAUACUGAUUUCCUAGUUAGCAUGGGUCAACUCCAAUCAUUAAGUGAUCUAACCAAAAUAUGAUUUAUCAUGUUGGCCAGGUAAGUGAGAUCGGUGGG
rnacentral:lncRNA from 1 species